rnacentral:rRNA from 3 species
AAAUUGAAGAGUUUGAUCAUGGCUCAGAUUGAACGCUGGCGGCAGGCCUAACACAUGCAAGUCGAACGGUAACAGGAAGCAGCUUGCUGCUUCGCUGACGAGUGGCGGACGGGUGAGUAAUGUCUGGGAAACUGCCUGAUGGAGGGGGAUAACUACUGGAAACGGUGGCUAAUACCGCAUAACGUCGCAAGACCAAAGAGGGGGACCUUCGGGCCUCUUGCCAUCAGAUGUGCCCAGAUGGGAUUAGCUAGUUGGUGAG